CAAUCACCAUGUUAAAGUUCCAGAUUAUGAAAAACAUCCUUGCUAGAAACAAGACGGAAAAAAAAGUCAGAAAAUAUUUAUUGCCACAGCCAAAAGCUUUCUAACAACUGUUUGAUUUAGCAUUCAGGAUUUCGGAGUUGAUAUAACUAACAUGACAAAAAGUUCCAUUUAUAAAAAACCAUAAUUUGCCAUUCAGAUGACUGUUCAGAGAAUUACAGUUCUCUAAUGUCAAAUCAAAUUCUGCCUUUUGUUAGGAUAGCAGAGUAAACAGUCAUCGCUCUGGCUGUAUAUUAUAAUAAUUUAAUUGAUGGCUCCAGUGAUCAUUCAUAUGGUAUGACAGUGAAGCGUAAGUGGUUUAUGAUUAUGGUAUCAUUAAAUCCCAAGGCAAUUUCUAUGAGACUCAUGACAAGCCAUCUGUUGGGUUAUUUUAAAUAAAAUAUAGUACCAUCUUUACCUUAAGUACCAAAACAAUGGAAUAUUCAUUGGUACAACAACGUGAGAUCAUUAAAAAACUACCAAGCAAAAAGUGCACAGGAUGUUAGCAUUCUUCAUUGGUCACUGAACUGAGACGUUUACACCAUAAGAUUCAGCAUAGAGCAGCAAGUGACAUGGUCUCCCCAAAAUUUCUAGUCAAUGAAAGCAGCCUGAUUGAUUUUUCAUUUUCUAAUAGUAAAUGUGUUGCUCGUAAGAGCUGGUAGACUAAACGAUUAAGGCCCUACUUCAGUAAGCCUGGAAUUGUGCUUAAUUUUAAGCACAUACUUAAAUCCAUCAUUAGUCAGCAAAGCACUGAAGCAUGUGCUUAACUGUAAAACAACUGGUAUGUAAACAUGUGCCUUAAACACUUUGCCCUAAUGGAACCCAAGUCUUUUUCCACAGAACAGUUGGGAGCCAAAAGCUGCAGUUCAAUGUAAUGGUCUGCCAGCUAGCAAGCACAUGGAGCGAGGGAACCACCUCAAAAAGCAAUCUGACAUCUGUGUUGAUCAGGGAAGGUCAUGCUGCUUUCUGGCAAGCAGAUGGGCUGCACAAACUGAGACUUGACAGCACAGCGCUGGUUAUUCUUUUUCAGCUUGAUCAAAACUGCAGGAGAGAGAAUACAACAGCAAUAAGAUGAACACUGUCUCUUUUGAAUGGAACUGGCAGCAGUAGGUCCCAGGAUUGAUUCUCCAAGGAUCUGAGCAACUUGAACUUGAUCCACCGAAGUGUGCAAGCAUGUGUUUUCUCAAUGAUUUCAACAUGGCUACUCCUGUGCUUUAAGUUAAGUGUAUGCUGAAGGCAGAUUUUUAACAUUAUCUAGAGGUCUAAACAAUUUUCAAUCUGACCUCAAGUACUUUGCUGGAUAAGAACACUCAGGUAGUUUAAUUUGGCUGGACAAGGUUCUUUGGGUAAAUCUGAUAUCUUUUAUUAGACCAGCUCAAAUAGUUGGAAAAAUUCUUCUUUGCAAGCUUUCAGGUACAAAUACCCUUCGUCAGCUUUAGUUGCACACUUUGCCAUAUUUGGGACAGAGGGCUUAACUCUUUGCUUUAGCAAGCCCUCAAGCAAGCCCGUUGAGUUCAUUAUGUAAAUGGAAAAACUCAGACUUGCAUGUUGCUUCAGUCCAAGAGUUGGACACCAAGGGCCAGUGGACUUAGGCAACCAGGUGUGAUCCCUUCCUAUCCACUCAAGACCCUGAAAACACAGCGAGUGUAUGGAUCCUCCCGCUCACUGCUUUUUGUGACUUAGUCUUAAGCCGCAAAGCUGUGGCUCACCAACCUGAUUAAGGGCACAUAGAAAUCAGUAGCAAAACAACCAGCAAUUAAGAAUUAGAUGGGCCAGCUUGUAUUCAGACCAUUGGACCACCCUGUCAGCAAGAAAAGGAUGGAACUAUGCAGAUUAAUUUAGGCCUCAAUUACACCACUGUUAAUCUGGAGUCUAAAGAACUAUAGUAUUAAUAUUUUGUCCAUCCUGCAGAAGUAACUAGAAAUAUGCCUGAUUUACCGAUUCUAUAAUAGAAAUUCUGUUUGUGUUUUAAGUUGUUUAAAAAUUCUCUGUAUAAAUCAUAUAAAUAAAUAAAAG